GUUUAAUCCGCUGUUGACCAACACUUUUAACCACAACAUUCAUCAUGAGGACUUUCGUUGCUCUCGCCAUUCUGGCCAUUGUCGCUGUCUGUGUACACUCAGAGGAGUGCCGUAGUAAUGCCGACUGUCAAAAUGGUCUAACCACUUGUUCAGCUGGCCAUUCCCUCACCUGCCAUAACCGUGCAUGUUAUUGCGAGUCCCAGACCUCUAGCACAGGAAGUGGUUGUUCGACCAAGGAUGACUGCAUGAAUUCCGGAGACUGUCACGGCAGAGGACAAUUCCACUGUGUUGAUAGCAAGUGCAGGUGUUUCCACCACUAGAAUCUAAUUAUUGUGUUUCCAAGUGAAUGGAAUUACAGAUGUGACAACCUGCUAGUAGAAAUGAUAUGUAUUCGUCAAUCAAAAUUUUUAUGUUUUAUGCAAUAAAAAAGGUUAAA